rnacentral:misc_RNA from 1 species
AAGGUUGAUGGAUCGCUAUCCUCGAAGGUUUUACUGAUAUAUGAUGAAUUCAAAAUUAUAUGGUGAUAGUAUGUUUUCAGUUUUACUGAGAUUUGAUUGAAUGUUGAAACUUAAUAGAUAUUGAAGGAGUCAUUUUGAAGGUCUAUUUGAUAGGCAAUGAUGUGAAGCAAUUUAUUUUGCAACAGGAUUUAAUAAUUUAUUCUUAUAAGGUCUGUGUUUGGAAUAUAUUGGAAUUUGUUAGGU